CCAUCUGCCAGGAAGAAGCUGGGUCUCUCUCUCUCUGGUCAUUCCACAAGUUGCCUGGUGCCACUUAACCUCAGUGCAGGUCCAGAUGCAGAAGCAAGGCCCCCUGUUCCUUUCGCAGACCAAUCUGGAUUCUGCAAAGAUCCAUCCCCGGUUUCUAGUUUGUCUCUUUAUUUAGAAACCACAGACAACUACAGCGAGGGACAAGAGACCGAGAUGAGGGACAACUACAGUGUGAAGGUUUGCUGCUGCUAGACUUCGAUAUUUCUGGGUGAUUCCUGGGAAUGGCUAGCCUCUGUGGAAACAGCCUAACAUCCAAUAUCUAGUGUCUGCAACCUGUCCCCACCUGCCCACGAGUUGUGCGGGACGGAAGUCAUCUCCAAAGGUCCAGGAAGACGAUACAUCAGCUGAAUGUGACAUUUAAAAGAUAAUCACAGAAACUCUUGAAGACAACUGGAACCAAGUCUUACAAAAAAGCUGUGGAGAUUAGAGGCAACAGACUGAGGCAAAGUAAUUGUAGGUUUUAGUCUGGGUUCGAAUCCCUCCCUCCCUCCUUCUCCAAUGGU